rnacentral:lncRNA from 1 species
UUAACUAAAGAUAUUUUUUAUUAUUUGAUAAAUCCUUUGUCUAUAAAAUAGAUUGAGGCUCUUGAAUCUAAUAAUGCAAAGACUUUGUAUCACGGACACAAAAUACAGACUUCAAAUCUAACAAGAAGUUCAAGAAGAAGUGGCAGAACUAGAUUAAACAGAUGAGUACAAGAACAACACCAGAAAGAUGAGCUAGAACUCCAAAAG